rnacentral:rRNA from 1 species
GUGAGGAAUUUUCCGCAAUGGGCGAAAGCCUGACGGAGCAAUGCCGCGUGUGUGAAGAAGGCCUUUUGGUUGUAAAGCACUUUAAGCGAGGAGGAGGCUACCGAGAUUAAUACUCUUGGAUAGUGGACGUUACUCGCAGAAUAAGCACCGGCUAACUCUGUGCCAGCAGCCGCGGUAAUACAGAGGGUGCAAGCGUUAAUCGGAUUUACUGGGCGUAAAGCGCGCGUAGGUGGCCAAUUAAGUCAAAUGUGAAAUCCCCGAGCUUAACUUGGGAAUUGCAUUCGAUACUGGUUGGCUAGAGUAUGGGAGAGGAUGGUAGAAUUCCAGGUGUAGCGGUGAAAUGCGUAGAGAUCUGGAGGAAUACCGAUGGCGAAGGCAGCCAUCUGGCCUAAUACUGACACUGAGGUGCGAAAGCAUGGGGAGCAAACAGGAUUAGAUACCCUAGUAGUCC